rnacentral:rRNA from 1 species
AGUGAACGCUGGCGGUAGGCCUACACAUGCAAGUCGAACGGCAGCACAGUAAGAGCUUGCUCUUACGGGUGGCGAGUGGCGGACGGGUGAGGAAUACAUCGGAAUCUACUUUUUCGUGGGGGAUAACGUAGGGAAACUUACGCUAAUACCGCAUACGACCUACGGGUGAAAGCAGGGGAUCUUCGGACCUUGCGCGAUUGAAUGAGCCGAUGUCGGAUUAGCUAGUUGGCGGGGUAAAGGCCCACCAAGGCGACGAUCCGUAGCUGGUCUGAGAGGAUGAUCAGCCACACUGGAACUGAGACACGGUCCAGACUCCUACGGGAGGCAGCAGUGGGGAAUAUUGGACUAUGGGCGCAAGCCUGAUCCAGCCAUACCGCGUGGGUGAAGAAGGCCUUCGGGUUGUAAAGCCCUUUUGUUGGGAAAGAAAAGCAGCAGGUUAAUACCCCGCUGUUCUGACGGUACCCAAAGAAUAAGCACCGGCUAACUUCGUG